UAGAAAAUGUCUUAAGCUUUAGGAAACUAACGUAGGAUCGUCAUUGAUAUGCAUAAUUUCUCGCUACAUCUUGGUGCUAGAAAUUUUGUGACGAAAGUCGUGAUUAAUGGUGAGAUUAAAUACGAACAAGAAGUUGAAAUAUCGCGGCAGAGUUGAAAGGAGCAGCGUGACAAAACUAUAAUUUACGAGUUGUAAUUUAUAAUCGCAUUUAGUGACAAAGGCGACAACUUUUGUAUCGUGGUGUUGGCGGAUUUCAAUCGAUCAGAUCGCACAUUCUCGAAGUAUUUAAAACGUUUUGGAAAGGGCUGAGGUAUAAAUUGGUGAAUCGAAGUUAAAGGGUGCUCUGGAAGUAACAAGAAGGUAUAUAUAACUAUUAAAUAAAAUUCUUUCGAUUUAACAAAUAUUUGAUCAUUUUUCACGGAUAGAGUCUCAGAUAUCAACAAUUUGUAGGAAAAUAUGGAUUAAUUGUUCUGUAAAAAGAAUUGACUUUUUCAGUGCGGAAACAUCGAUCGAAAAUCUGUUAUAGAUACAAUGUGAUUGUCUAGCUUCUAGCGUUAACACUCGAAUGGCAAUAAUACAUAUAUAUAUAGAAAUCACGUAAAUGUAGCACGUGACUAUGAUCAUAUAUGUACAUAUAUUCGUUAAAUGUGUAACGACCUAAUUUAGACGAUGACUGCAGUCGCCAUCAGCACGUAUAAUCGCCGUCAGUGACUUUUUAAUAUCGAUUGCAAAUCAAGUAAAUUCCAACAGAUCGUUGUAGGAACAACGAUCGAAGUCGAUCCUGGCCAUGCAAAAGUUAAAGUUCUUCUAUUCGCUUAUUAGAAAUUUACAUAUAACGAGUGCGAUAACAGGGAAUAACAAUUUGUAGAAGAACUAUUUUCAAAGAGUUGCUCUUCGAAUUAAAUCGAAAUAAAUUAUUUUUAUUAAAUAAAAGAUCAAAAAACAGCACCAUUUGUUCGCUGUAUCGUAAUCGUUCAAUUUUUGUUUUAAAUAAUUGGAAAAUACCUAGUUACCUAUUACGAUUGUAUUAAUUCUACAGUAAUUGUUUUAAUUCUAUGUUGCUGCACGGUUUGUUGAUACAAUUAAAGAAACUGCGAUGAUUGAUAAGAGCAUUUACUGAAAAUAAAUCAGCAACUGAAAUCCAGAGAAAAUUUAGAUGCGCGUCCAAUCAUAGAAUACUAAAUGGCAGCCACGGUCCACAAGGUCCAACGAGGUCCUGACAUCAUCUUUAGACGCGUAAAGGUCAAGGCUUAUUCGGCAGCACUAUUUAUCUGGAUUCAUCGGGAACAACUAGUUCGUACAGUGGAAAUAUACCGAUUUUGCUUCCAAUACUAAAAUUUUACAUUAAGAUAAGUAGAUUCAAUUGUACGAAGUCCAUUUAAUUUAGGUCACAAAAAUAAAAAAAUAUAUAAUAAUUUCAAAUUCACUCUCAUGAGCAGAAAGAAACGCUUACGAAAAAUACCAGAAAAAAGGAAAGAAAGUUUUCUCUGGUAUUUCAAUGAAGCCCUAACUAUGAUUUUCUUCCAAUAAACAGAAUUCAAAUAAAUGUACCACUUCGAAAUGAAAGAAAACCGAAGUUUUACCAUUUUUUCUUUUCUUGUGCAAUUUUUGUUUUUGUUCAUUCAACCUACAAUAUCUAGCCAUUAUUUCACAGCUUUGUAAUAUAACUUUACUUGAAAAAUAAAAAAACACGAGAAACUUGAAACAUAUCAACGUACGAGUGUCUUGAAAAAUGAAGAAACGCUGAAUAAGAAAUUUUAUUUAAAAAGGUUAGUGUUACAAAUCGAAUGCAGUAAAAUAUCUAAAAAUUCAAUACCGAUUUUUUCGCGAUCAAUUGACCGUCGAGACAAUCACGAUUUAUUACAAUUUAUUACGAUUAUAGAACCAACUGCGUAAGAUUAAAAAUUUACCGAGGACAUUUUCAUCCCUUCGUGACAUCGACAUAAUAAUUCGCGAUAAUAUCAGCGGAAGUAAAAAGCAAACAAAGAUGUGACGUGGAUUAUGCGUUGGCAUUUUAAGCUAUCAGCUUCGAAAGUUACAAAAUAUCCUACGUCACGAGGCUUUUCCCUAUACGCUGCUUCAGGACGUUAAACGAACAACGGUGACGUCGAAGCGACGUCACUUCACCCUUCAAAGAGUUAAUUUAGAAGUGAAUGGGUUACAUUGGGCUCCGAAGCAUCGGACCGCGGAAUACGAUGUUAUCUGCGUGUUCUUUCACGUUCCAUCGACAGAUGAUAUCACCCACGCUCGAUGGGAACUGAUCACGCGAAAAUUCUAACGCGUUCAGAGACCUCUUAAUGGAAAUUAAUUAUCAAAGGACGCUGAUCUAAACGUACGAAGGCGUCGUUAUUCUUGAACGUCGCCUCGGUAAACGAGUCAAUGUGUUAACGUAUGUGUACAUAAAGGUGAGUGGAAUAACUCGUUAUUACUUAAACUACUAAAGACUAACGUUACGUUAACGCAACAUUACGUUUCUCAAUCGAUUUAUAUCGUUAAAUUCUACUUCUUAGCGUCGUAGUUACGAUAGAGAGGUCCAACUAUUUGUUUAACUAUUUUUUUCUUACUAUUGCUUCUUUCACUUAGAUUCUACGAUGUUUACGAAGUUUCCAAAAAUUGAAACGAGUCACUCUGAUUUAUCGCAAUAUAUUUUAUAUGUUGUUUAUUGAAAUUAUGCAAAAUAUUUUUGCGCCUCUAAUUUCUGAGUAUCGUAGCAAAAGGGAUAAAACGGACGAUAUUUCAGCGGAGACUAACCGAAUUAAAGGAAUAAAUUAAUUUUGCAAUUUGAGAGGAGAAUGGAACCGCCGUGUGCAAUGCACUGAUUAAAAUUGAACUAGUUGCUGAACACGUUAAUACUUGAUGUUUCGCAAACGCAAACAAAAGUGGCUACGGCAAACGUCGAGCAAUUCAACAAUGAGAUGGUAGGAAACGUUCUGAGUCAGCUCUACGUAUUAUUAUUUAAUGUUAUGUAAUUAUUGUUACUCGUUUGUCUAAUUCAAAUAGAUUUUUAUGUUGAAUGCCAAACAUCGAUUAUUAUUUGGUUUAAAAAGUAAAAUCCUUAUGCUUGGAAAACAAUUAUGAAAAUCGAAGUUAAACAAAUUAAAGAAACGAGCAAUUAACUUUAAUGAGCAAUUAAAUCUUGACGUUACAAGAUUAAAAGAUCUAUACCACUAUCGUCUAAUAGAUUCGAACAAUCUUAAAUGCAUCUCUCUUUCAAAAAAUUUAAUCAAUUUUUCAUUCCAUUUAUAUGUUACACAAAGCUGGGUUUGCAUUCCAGUCCAGCGAUCCAAUUCGGCACUGGAUCGUAACUGAAAUAAUUCAAACAGCGUUUUCAUUUGGAUACAGUACCGUCGUUCCAGUGAGUAAUCCAUUCAAACGACUUGAUCGAAAGUCCACUUUUUCCAGUUCAGCGUUUACCACUACCAUCGAGAAUACAACAUUCCAGCGUUGCUAGAAUCGUCUAGACGGCUCAUUAGAGCAAGUUUCAUGCAUUGUUUUUGCCAUCUAUGCGGCUUAACAUUCUAUUCGCAUAUGUAUAUAACGGGACAUAAAAGAACGUUUAAUUACUCUCGUUUUAUAAACAUUCUUUCAUCCCAUCGUUGUACAUCUACCGUACCUACGUAGAUUCUUCGACCGAUCCAUUUGAAAAUAUUGCAUAAAAAUACUUUGCAAUGUGAAAGA